UCACUUCCCUAUAAAACUGAAGUAUCACAGUAUCACAGUAUCAUCAGGGUUGGAAGAGACCUCACAGAUCAUCAAGUCCAACCCUUUACCACAGAGCUCAAGGCUAGAACUGGACAUAGAUGAAAAGCACCCCAACGUGCACCUACCCACUGGGAACAGCUUGGUUUGGGGCAAGGACAUCCCCGGUGUAUCUCGGAGAUUAAGGAUGCAUAUUGCUGGUGCAGGGCCAUAUGGGUACUGAAGGCUGGACCUGUUCCCUCCUGCUGUGUGGAUUCCCAGCUUCUGGAGGCAUCAGUGAAACUUCUGUUCCUCCUGCUUUCUGUGAUUACAACCAGAUGGCUUAGAAGAAUGAUGGGGCCAGUGAGGUACCUGAA